rnacentral:sRNA from 1 species
CGCCCUCGCCCCUACACUAGGAGACUGCGUUUUCCUCAGGGUUAACGGGUACUAAUUAGGAUCACUUCCCCUCUAUCCCUCUGUGUCACUCGGUAACUCCCCUAGGGCUUUGCCUACAUCCUGGCCACUGAGCUGUAUUGAUUUCCAUAAUCAUCCCCCAGGCUGAGGCAGGGCCACGCUAGAAUUCCGGUGCCUAUUUAGGCAUCAUCUCUCUUUUGCUUUAUAGGUGAUUUCUGAUUUUGACAUGACCUUGAGCAGGUUUGCAUAUAAUGGAAAGCGAUGCCCUUCUUCUUACAAUAUUCUGGAUAAUAGCAAGAUCAUCAGUGAGGAG